rnacentral:rRNA from 1 species
UACGAAGGGUGCAAGCGUUACUCGGAAUUACUGGGCGUAAAGCGUGCGUAGGUGGUUUGUUAAGUCUGAUGUGAAAGCCCCGGGCUUAACCUGGGAAUGGCCGUUGAAACUGGCGAACUGGAGUGUGGCAGAGGGGGGUGGAAUUCCGCGUGUAGCAGUGAAAUGCGUAGAGAUGCGGAGGAACACCGAUGGCGAAGGCAGCCCCCUGGGCUAACACUGACGCUCAUGCACGAAAGCGUGGGGAGCAAACAGG